rnacentral:rRNA from 1 species
UUGAACGCUGGCGGCAGGCUUAACACAUGCAAGUCGAGCGGAUGAAGGGAGCUUGCUCCUGGAUUCAGCGGCGGACGGGUGAGUAAUGCCUAGGAAUCUGCCUGGUAGUGGGGGAUAACGUCCGGAAACGGGCGCUAAUACCGCAUACGUCCUGAGGGAGAAAGUGGGGAUCUUCGGACCUCACGCUAUCAGAUGAGCCUAGGUCGGAUUAGCUAGUUGGUGGGGUAAAGGCCUACCAAGGCGACGAUCCGUAACUG